ACCGUAAAUAUCACCGUAAGAGCCGUGUUUUUGUGGCUCUGCUGACUUGUGUUUACGAGAAUGUUUUUUCGUAUGGGCAAUGUCGUUCUUCAUGACGUUCCUUUAUUUCGUGUAAAUACACAUAUUGUUGGCUGCUUUUUUUUCGUUUUUUUAAACGUCGACGUCUUCGUGCAUGUUUACUUUAUUAAAAAAUAAAUAAAUUGAUCUGUUUGUCUCGUCUCAUUUAUUUGUUUUGUUGCGUUUCUUCAAUUGAUUAUUAUAUUUAAUUAAUUAUUUAAUUAAUAUUUAAUUAUGACACGAUUAAAGUGUAAAUGCGGUGUCGCGUUUGCACACAAAAAUUCUUUGAUUCGUCAUAUUCGGACGAAGCACAAGAGGGAGCAAAUCACCAAAAAUUUUUUUUCAAACGCUCAAUACGUAAGACAUACAUAUACUUUUUAUAUUAAAUAUGCUAAGUGUAGUUAUAAAAUAAGUUUCCAAGACUUAUGUGUGUAGUUCAUUGUGUUGUGAUACCUAUGCACGUCUCAUCACAUUCUACCUACAUGUUUCAAACACGUAUUGUACUGAUGUGUUAUGAACAGCUGGUUCCAGUUGAACAUUAGCAAUACGAACGUACAUCGUAGAUUGUUACGUUAGAAUAAAAUGACUUGGAUAAGAGUUCUUAUUAUUAUUAUUAUUAUUUAUCUUAGGAAUGUAAUGAUUGCAAACGAAGAUUUCAGAGAAAAGACAGUCUACAAAGGCAUAUUCUACAGCAACAUAUGAAAGAAGAAAAACCUACCUACAAAUGUAAUCGUUGUGGGAGUGAUUUCCAUAAAAAAAACGCUCUAAUACUACACUUAUCAAAAACUCAGAAAUGCCAAUCCGAUAAAUCAGCCAGCAUCGCGGAAAAAAGCAUUUCAAGUUCAGAAAAAGAUCAGGGGUUAAAAAGGUACAACUGCGUAAUGUGUGAAGAGAGCUUCAAACUGCAAUCUGAAAUUCGAAAUCAUCUUACUCAAACACACG